rnacentral:pre_miRNA from 1 species
GUUGUACUCCCUCCAUUCCGAAUUACUUGUCGCACGUAUGGAUGUAUCUAGAUGUAUUUUAUUUCUAGAUACAUCCAUUUCAGCGACGAGUAAUUUGGAACGGAGGGAGUAGUUC